CCUACGGGAGGCAGCAGUGGGGAAUAUUGGACAAUGGGCGAAAGCCUGAUCCAGCAAUUCCGCGUGUGUGAAGAAGGCCUUCGGGUUGUAAAGCACUUUAGUUGGGGAAGAAACAGCUUGGCCACACCAAGCCUUGACGGUACCCAAAGAAUAAGCACCGGCUAACUCUGUGCCAGCAGCCGCGGUAAUACAGAGGGUGCAAGCGUUAAUCGGAUUUACUGGGCGUAAAGGGUGCGUAGGUGGUUUUGUAAGUCGGAUGUGAAAGCCUGGGGCUCAACCUCAGAAUUGCACUCGAUACUGCAAGACUAGAGUUCGGUAGAGGGCGGCGGAAUUCCCGGUGUAGCGGUGAAAUGCGUAGAUAUCGGGAGGAACAUCAAUGGCGAAGGCAGCCGCCUGGGCCUGAACUGACACUGAGGCACGAAAGCGUGGGUAGCAAACAGGAUUAGAUACCCUGGUAGUCCACGCUGUAAACGAUGAGAACUUGACGUUGGUUCGUUUUACGAAUCGGUGUCGCAGCUAACGCGAUAAGUUCUCCGCCUGGGGAGUACGGCCGCAGGUUGAAACUCAAAGGAAUUGACGG
rnacentral:rRNA from 1 species